GCACCAGUGGUGUAUGGUGGUACACACAGUCACCUCAUGAAGCCUCUCCUUCAAUGAAUAGUGAUUGAGGCUGGGGUUCGAUUCCCCGCUGGUGCA